rnacentral:rRNA from 1 species
CACUAUCGUUAACUGAAUACAUAGGUUAACGAGGCGAACCGGGGGAACUGAAACAUCUAAGUACCCCGAGGAAAAGAAAUCAACCGAGAUUCCCCCAGUAGCGGCGAGCGAACGGGGAGCAGCCCAGAGUCUGAAUCAGCUUGUGUGUUAGUGGAACGGUCUGGAAAGUCCGACGGUACAGGGUGAUAGUCCCGUACACCAAAAUGCACAGGUUGUGAACUCGAAGAGUAGGGCGGGACACGUGGUAUCCUGUCUGAAUAUGGGGGGACCAUCCUCCAAGGCUAAAUACUCCUGACUGACCGAUAGUGAACCAGUACCGUGAGGGAAAGGCGAAAAGAACCCCGGCGAGGGGAGUGAAAAAGAACCUGAAACCGUGUACGUACAAGCAGUGGGAGCACCUUCGGGUGUGACUGCGUACCUUUUGUAUAAUGGGUCAGCGACUUAUAUUCUGUAGCAAGGUUAACCGUAUAGGGGAGCCGCAGGGAAACCGAGUCUUAACUGGGCGUUAAGUUGCAGGGUAUAGACCCGAAACCCGGUGAUCUAGCCAUGGGCAGGUUGAAGGUUGGGUAACACUAACUGGAGGACCGAACCGACUAAUGUUGAAAAAUUAGCGGAUGACUUGUGGCUGGGGGUGAAAGGCCAAUCAAACCGGGAGAUAGCUGGUUCUCCCCGAAAGCUAUUUAGGUAGCGCCUCGUGAAUUCAUCUUCGGGGGUAGAGCACUGUUUCGGCUAGGGGGUCAUCCCGACUUACCAACCCGAUGCAAACUACGAAUACCGAAGAAUGUUAUCACGGGAGACACACGGCGGGUGCUAACGUCCGUCGUGAAGAGGGAAACAACCCAGACCGCCAGCUAAGGUCCCAAAGUCAUGGUUAAGUGGGAAACGAUGUGGGAAGGCACAGACAGCCAGGAUGUUGGCUUAGAAGCAGCCAUCAUUUAAAGAAAGCGUAAUAGCUCACUGGUCGAGUCGGCCUGCGCGGAAGAUGUAACGGGGCUAAACCAUGCACCGAAGCUGCGGCAGCGACACUAUGUGUUGUUGGGUAGGGGAGCGUUCUGUAAGCCUGCGAAGGUGNUGCUGGAGGUAUCAGAAGUGCGAAUGCUGACAUAAGUAACGAUAAAGCGGGUGAAAAGCCCGCUCGCCGGAAGACCAAGGGUUCCUGUCCAACGUUAAUCGGGGCAGGGUGAGUCGACCCCUAAGGCGAGGCCGAAAGGCGUAGUCGAUGGGAAACAGGUUAAUAUUCCUGUACUUGGUGUUACUGCGAAGGGGGGACGGAGAAGGCUAUGUUAGCCGGGCGACGGUUGUCCCGGUUUAAGCAUGUAGGCUGGUUGUCCAGGCAAAUCCGGAUAAUCAAGGCUGAGGUGUGAUGACGAGGCACUACGGUGCUGAAGUAACAAAUGCCCUGCUUCCAGGAAAAGCCUCUAAGCAUCAGGUAACAUCAAAUCGUACCCCAAACCGACACAGGUGGUCAGGUAGAGAAUACCAAGGCGCUUGAGAGAACUCGGGUGAAGGAACUAGGCAAAAUGGUGCCGUAACUUCGGGAGAAGGCACGCUGGUGUGUAGGUGAAGUCCCUGCGGAUGGAGCUGAGACCAGUCGAAGAUACCAGCUGGCUGCAACUGUUUAUUAAAAACACAGCACUGUGCAAACACGAAAGUGGACGUAUACGGUGUGACGCCUGCCCGGUGCCGGAAGGUUAAUUGAUGGGGUUAUCCGUAAGGAGAAGCUCUUGAUCGAAGCCCCGGUAAACGGCGGCCGUAACUAUAACGGUCCUAAGGUAGCGAAAUUCCUUGUCGGGUAAGUUCCGACCUGCACGAAUGGCGUAAUGAUGGCCAGGCUGUCUCCACCCGAGACUCAGUGAAAUUGAACUCGCUGUGAAGAUGCAGUGUACCCGCGGCAAGACGGAAAGACCCCGUGAACCUUUACUAUAGCUUGACACUGAACAUUGAGCCUUGAUGUGUAGGAUAGGUGGGAGGCUUUGAAGCGUGGACGCCAGUCUGCGUGGAGCCAACCUUGAAAUACCACCCUUUAAUGUUUGAUGUUCUAACGUUGGCCCCUGACCGGGGUUGCGGACAGUGUCUGGUGGGUAGUUUGACUGGGGCGGUCUCCUCCCAAAGCGUAACGGAGGAGCACGAAGGUUAGCUAAUCCUGGUCGGACAUCAGGAGGUUAGUGCAAUGGCAUAAGCUAGCUUGACUGCGAGCGUGACGGCGCGAGCAGGUGCGAAAGCAGGUCAUAGUGAUCCGGUGGUUCUGAAUGGAAGGGCCAUCGCUCAACGGAUAAAAGGUACUCCGGGGAUAACAGGCUGAUACCGCCCAAGAGUUCAUAUCGACGGCGGUGUUUGGCACCUCGAUGUCGGCUCAUCACAUCCUGGGGCUGAAGUAGGUCCCAAGGGUAUGGCUGUUCGCCAUUUAAAGUGGUACGCGAGCUGGGUUUAGAACGUCGUGAGACAGUUCGGUCCCUAUCUGCCGUGGGCGCUGGAGAAUUGAGGGGGGCUGCUCCUAGUACGAGAGGACCGGAGUGGACGCAUCACUGGUGUUCGGGUUGUCAUGCCAAUGGCACUGCCCGGUAGCUAAAUGCGGAAGAGAUAAGUGCUGAAAGCAUCUAAGCACGAAACUUGCCCCGAGAUGAGUUCUCCCUGAGACUUUAAGUCUCCUGAAGGAACGUU